AUUGUACCCAGUGUAAUCCUUCCAAAUUUUAUGAAUAAAAAGACAUAUUAUCAUCAAAAUUGUAAUUAUUGUUGAUUAUUGUUAUUAAUUGAAAUAUUUGCAAAUAUGACUUUAUAUGUUCCUUGAAAAUAAAAAAAUAAAAAAAAUAUUGCAUCUCAUGCAUCACUUGCAUAAACAGGUUUCUUUCACCAGAUGUCUUAUUGGUUCUUCUUUUGUAUAUCAGACAAGAUGACUCAUCACUAUAACACUCGGGCUAAUCGCCUGAGAAGAAUGAAGCAUCUCAAAUAAGAGAACAGAGAGAUCAAGGAUGAAAUUGUCAAAUUCGUUGCUUUGAUGGAGUCUAUUAUUUCUGCUCAGAAUCAACCAUCUCCGCCUCCUGCAACUCCUCAUCCUUAGAGGAUUGUUAUUUAUGAAAUUG
rnacentral:lncRNA from 1 species